rnacentral:rRNA from 1 species
GACAGAGGUGCCGAGCGUUAGGCGGAAUCACUGGGCUUAAAGCGUGUGUAGGCGGACUUCUAAGUACCUUGUGAAAUCCCACGGCUUAACCGUGGAACUGCUUGGUAUACUGGUUGUCUUGGGCCAUCUAGGGGCUACCGGAACAAACGGUGGAGCGGUGAAAUGCGUAGAUAUCGUUUGGAACGCCAAUGGUGAAAACAGGUAGCUGGGGGAUGUGCCGACGCUGAGACACGAAAGCCAGGGGAGCGAACGGGG